AUACGUAGGGGGCAAGCGUUAUCCGGAUUUACUGGGUGUAAAGGGAGCGUAGACGGCGAAGCAAGUCUGAAGUGAAAGGACGGGGCCCAACCCCGGAACUGCUUUGGAAACUGUUUGGCUGGAGUGCGGGAGGGGUAAGCGGAAUUCCUAGUGUAGCGGUGAAAUGCGUAGAUAUUAGGAGGAACACCGGUGGCGAAGGCGACUUACUGGACCGUAACUGACGUUGAGGCUCGAAGGCGUGGGGAGCAAACAGGAUUAGAUACCCUGGUAGUCCACGCGGUAAACGAUGAUCACUAGGUGUCGGCGGCCAUAGGCGGUCGGUGCCGCAGCAAACGCAAUAAGUGAUCCACCUGGGGAGUACGUUCGCAAGAAUGAAACUCAAAGGAAUUGACGGGG
rnacentral:rRNA from 1 species